rnacentral:rRNA from 1 species
UACAGAGGUGGCGAGCGUUGUUCGGAAUUACUGGGCUUAAAGCGCGUGUAGGCGGCUUCGUAAGUACUUGGUGAAAGCCCUCGGCCUAACCGAGGAAGUGCCAGGUAUACUGCGAGGCUUGAGGCGACAAGGGGUGCCUGGAACUCUAGGUGGAGCGGUGAAAUGCGUAGAUAUCUAGAGGAACGCCCGUGGCGAAAGCGGGGCACUGGUGUCGAUCUGACGCUGAUAUGCGAAAGCGUGGGGAGCAAACGGG